CCUACGGGAGGCAGCAGUGGGGAAUAUUGCACAAUGGGGGAAACCCUGAUGCAGCGACGCCGCGUGAGUGAAGAAGGAAUUCGUUACGUAAAGCUCUAUCAGCAGGGAAGAAACACUGACCUUACGGUCAGCAGACGGUACCUGAGUAAGAAGCCCCGGCGAACUACGUGCCAGCAGCCGCGGUCAUACGUAGGGGGCAAGCGUUAGCCGGAUUUACUGGGUGUAAAGGGAGUGUAGGCGGUGAGACAAGUCUGGAGUGAAAUGCAGCAGCUUAACUGGGGAACUGCUUUGGAAACUGGCGAACGAGAGUGCGGGAGGGGUAAGCGGAAUUCCUAGUGUAGCGGUGAAAUGCGUAGAUAUUUGGAGGAACACCGGUGGCGAAGGCGGCUUACUGGACCGUAACUGACGUUGAGGCUCGAAAGCGUGGGGAGCAAACAGGAUUAGAUACCCUAGUAGUC
rnacentral:rRNA from 1 species